rnacentral:rRNA from 1 species
GACGAAGGGGGCUAGCGUUGUUCGGAAUUACUGGGCGUAAAGCGCACGUAGGCGGCUUGGUAUGUCGGGUGUGAAAUCCCCGGGCUCAACCUGGGAACUGCAUCCGAAACUGCCUUGCUCGAGUAUGGGAGAGGGAAGUGGAAUUUCCGGUGUAGCGGUGAAAUGCGUAGAUAUCGGAAGGAACAUCAGUGGCGAAGGCGACUUCCUGGACCAAUACUGACGCUCAGGUGCGAAAGCGUGGGGAGCAAACAGG